GAUUGCCAGCUGUCUCAAGACUGAUCAGUUUGAAGGCAAGCAGUAGAGAAAGGACUCGAAGGGCGCCAAGCAGUCGGAAGUAAAAAUGACAAAGAACAAAUGCAGAACAUCAGCAUUAUAUAUAGACCUUAACUCGAUUCCCUUGCUAACCAUCAGAAUUUAUUGCCAGAUUGUGUUUGUGCCAAAUUUGGAAGAAAUUGAUAUUCUCACAAUGGGAUGUCAAGUCGCACUAGAAACAAUAAUCAGUGCACAACAGUGACAAAACCACAGUGAUGACUAAACUUUAACUCGUUCAUUUGCAAACUAUGAGCAUUGAUCAACUGAUUCUGUUUGUUCCAAAUUUGGAAGAUUGUUAAGUCACAACAGAUGCAGCACCAGAGACAAUAUUCAAUCCACAUCGCCACAGUCUUGACAGUGUUGGAAACCCCAAAGGAAGAUAACCUAUCAGCAUCAUCGGAUUUUAUUGAAUGUGCCAAGUUGGGAUGCAAGAAUAUGUCAAACCACAUCCAACAGUACUAAGACUAACCAUGGGAAUGAAGAAUGCUUUCUAGUUUGCAUAAAGUAGUUGCUCAGGAAAACACCAUCAUUACACAAGGUAUAUAUUCUUGUUCUAAUGUGAUUUUGUUUUCUGUAAACCUCUUAAUAUAAGCUCCCCUGUGUACUGUAUAAACCCACCACAACGCUCACCUCAUUCCAAAUAUAAGCAAACCCCCCCCCNNNNNNNNNNNNNNNNNNNNACUACUAUGCUUAACAAUUGUUUAUCACUAUUACACACACUAACACACAAAAGAUAGAUCCGUAAUAUGGCCCCAUAUAUAAGCCCCCUCCCUUGUAUAAUCCCAUCAAAAAUCGCUUACAAAAGAAUAUAAACCUGAGGCUUAUAGUCAGAGGUUUACGGUAUGCCUUUGCAGGCUUUGCCCAUGUGGCUUAUGUAGUUGUAAAGACUGUUCACAUGGGCAAUAGAAUAAGAAAGUUAGGAAACUUGAUGCAGACAUAAUGGACUUCAUUAUCUACAUGUUUUUGUCUUGGUUUGUGCAAGAAAUGAUCGUUCAUUGUCACAUGUGUAUUGUAUUUUUGCUAAAGCAACCAAAAGCUACUGCCAUUUGUGUUCAAGGUUGAAGCAUGCAAAAAUUUUCAGGUUUUACGUUUCAACGUAACGUUGCAAAGGAUAUCACGCCCGUUUGGCCGAUAAAAUUGAAUCGUUUGAAAGUAUAAAACUAUUGAUUGUGGAAGCAAGAAUAUACUCCCAUUCUUGUAUUCUCGUGAUUCUAAAUCAAAUUGCAAUCAAUUAUUACAUUUUGUAGCUGAAUUUUAGCUGAUUUACAGCACAAAAAUGUACAAACGUCAUUGGAAUUCAAACAUGACAUAUUAUGUAACAAUCAAUAAUAACUGUUGCAUUGUUCAAAUGAUCAGUUUCAUUGGUCAAAAGGGUUGUGAUUAACCCCUGGAACAUCGCGUUUAAAACAUAAACAAACGUGAAAAAAUUUCCACGCUUCAAGCUUGAACGCAAAUGGCAGUAUGUUUUCAUUUAACCAUUGUGUAAUAUCACAACUGGGUAAUUAAACCAACACGCUGCUAUUGGUUGGGUUGGGCAAGAAAACGGGACCGGCUAAACGGAGAGUUAUGAAGUGGAGAGUUAACUCGGAGAGUUAUGAUUUCGGAGAGUUAUGUUCAAACCACGCCCACUUUUCCCAAUGACCACACCCAAUUUCUUAACUCUCCCGACGUUUCCUUGAACUAACAUGAGAGAGUUAUGUUUGACCCAAUCUCUCUCGUUAACAUUAUGAAGAUGUUAAAAAGUUGUCAUUUUUAUAACUCUCUGCGUUCAUGAUUGUGGCAAUGAAGAGAGUUAAGUCAGUUUUUUGAGAAAACCUUCCACAUAUUAGUACAUUUUUGUAAAUUUACUUUUUUCUCAAUCUCAAGUGUCAACAUUUUAUGCUAGUAGAAACUAAUAGUACUUUAGUACUUACCAAAUUCAUCUAUAUGUAUGUAAAUGUUUAUAUAAAUAUAUACAUGCUCACUUGGAUUAUCUAGCAAGACCAGCAUUCAGAUACAUAUUAGAUAGAACUAGAAAAUCGUUCCAAUGUAAUGCCAUAUUGGCUGAUCCGGGAAGUAUUUCCAAAACCUGAAUUGCUGAAAGAUUCAAUUUUCUUAAUUUUCUUGCAACUAUGCUUGCCGUAUUUACUGCCAAAUACAUGUCAACACAUGCUUCUGGGGGGUACUUUGGCCCUUUGACUGAAUCAAGUUGCAUUUCCUAUUCACACGCUACAAAUUGAAAUACCAAAAAAUAAGAUGAAAAUCUGAAGAAACAAAAGCGGAGAUCGAGUUAUAAAAAGUGGUAACUCUCUAACAUCUUCAUAACGUUAACGAUAGAGAGUUGCGUCAACAUAACUCUCAUAUGAUAUUUGUGAUGUUACUCUGAGUGUGCAUCCACACCGGGCAGGCUUGAAAAAUAUGCCCGGCCACGGUGGGAUUCGAACCUACGACCUUUGGAAUACCAGCCCAAUGCUCUUCCAACUGAGCUACGCGGUCAGGACGGUUCGAGUAAGUGAUAUUUCGGAACAGAAUCUAGUUCCUUCGAUACCAGUGUAAUCUUGGCAAUGGUAUUCCAAAGGUCGUAGGUUCGAAUCCCACCAUGGCAAUGGUAUUCCAAAGGUUGUAGGUUCGAAUCCCACCGUGGCCGGGCAUAUUUUUCAAGCCUGCCCGGUGUGGAUGCACACUCAGAGUAACAUCACAAAUAUCAUAUCCACCUGAGUACACAACACCAACACAGAAAAAAUCAUAUUACAAGAUUACACUGGUAUCGAAGGAACUAGAUUCUGUUCAGAAAUAUCACUUACUCGAACCGUCCUGACCGCGUAGCUCAGUUGGAAGAGCAUUGGGCUGGUAUUCCAAAGGUCGUAGGUUCGAAUCCCACCGUGGCCGGGCAUAUUUUUCAAGCCUGCCCGGUGUGGAUGCACACUCAGAGUAACAUCACAAAUAUCAUAUCCACCUGAGUACACAACACCAACACAGAAAAAAUCAUAACUCUCAUAUGUUAGUUCAAUGAAACAUCGGGAGAGUUAAAAAAUUGGGUGUGGUUGUUGAGAAAAGUGGGCGUGGUUUGAAUAUAACUCCCCGAAAUCAUAACUCGCCGGUUGGUAACUCUCCCUUAAGUUAUACCCCAAGAAAACAAUAGAGAGUUUAAGUUCGACUUCCAAUACCAACACCUUAACUUCCGUUCUCAUAAAGUGUUAAGCUAUCACAACUGAUAAAGUAUAGAACACAUUAAUCGUCACCGAAAAUGUGCGACGGCUGAGCUAAAAUUCCGACUAAAACAUGACUCAGGCGAUGCCAAUAAACAAAUAGUUUAUGUGUACAUGUUUAUCGUAAAAAUUAUGAAAUAUCCGAUUUAUUUGAGUUUACCUUACAUUAAUUUCCCACGACUUCCAAUAGAAGGCCGAUAUACUUGUCCUUGUGCUUCUUGUGAGCAGAGAGCAUGCGCAUGACAUGUUGUUGGUAUCGGUGGAAUUCGAACUUAAACUCUCUAAUACACAUGUGACAAUGAGGGAACCAUUUUUUGCAAAAACCAAGACAAAAACAUAGAUCAUGUAUGAGGUCUAUUAUGUCUGUAUCGAAACAUAACCUUGACUAUGAUCACAUGGGGGUCAAUGAUGGGCCUUUCAACCAUUAGGGGCAGACCAUUAGAAAGGUGAUGUGGGGGGGGGGCAAAAGCAAAAAUAGAAAUCGAGCAGGGGAAACAGAAAAAAAAAUUCUAGCACAAAAAAGUUUUAAAAAAAAUUUUGUGCAUAGACUUUUCAAUAGUGAAAAUUAUAAGUUGUGUAAGGGUGGCCCCCAAUUGUAAACCUAAAUAUUGAAGAUAUGGGUGCAAAAAAAGGUUUUACACAUGUAUUAACAAGAAUGUGUGAGGGAAAAUUUUUUUGAAUUGAAAAAAUUCAAGCAAGGGAUGAUUUUAAAAAAAUUAUCAACACAAGCAAAAAAUUUUGAAAAAAUAAUUGCACAGGUUGGAAAUGUCCCCAUCAACGCCGGAACGUACUUAGUUGAUUAUGUCACCAUCAAGGGGGUACCUAAUUGGAUGACAGUUGAUAUACAUAAGCUACUUCUAAGAAUAUUUAGGGGUGCACGGAGCCGAACUCGGUUCCGGCUGGAACCCUGAUUUUUUAGAUUUCCGGUUCCGGCUGGAACUAGUAAAAAACGGAACCGGAACUCCGUCAUUUUCAGAGAGAUAGAAUAUCAAACGUUUUUGUGUCUAACAAAAGGUCACAGUAGAAAGAAAUUUGGACUACGCAAAGGAAAUGUACACUAACACUUCAUUAUGACGUUUAACGCUUGUCAAUAUUUUUAUUCUAAUAUUUGUGAGCUCUCUCCUUGAUGACUUGAAGUGUCUGCAGCGGACAAAGUAACAUAUGACUAUAUAUGGCUUAAUAAAUUAGUUCCGGCCGGAACUUUUUUCCAGUUCAGGUCGGAUCCGGUUUCCGGCCGGAACUUAAAAAACUGGUUCUGGUGCACCCCUAAGAAUAUUUAUAUUAAUUUGCAGGCAAAUACAGGACUAUCGGUACUGCAUAUAAUGAAAAUGAGUAUUUUAUCACUGUGAUAAUUCUCGGUUGAAGCCAUGUAAUUAAAUACUUCUUAUUACCUCCAAUUUAGAUUCUUGCUGGUCAUGACAGUUGUAUCCAAAAGUGGGGCCAUGGAUGCUGGUCAAGUUCUAAACCGGGGCCACCAUGGGGACGCCCAAAUGCACCAAACUAAUUUCAUAUGUGGAAUCUUUAAUAUAAUUUCACUUUAUUUUUGAGACGAAAUUUCACCAAAAUUUUAACAGUGCAGCUUAGUGGUGGUUGUGGAUACUUUUGGUAUAUUAUGUACUUUAAUGGAUUAUAAUAAACAUUUAUGGAUUACUAAGGAUAUUUAUUACCAUAAACAUGUUCGGACAUAUGUACCUCCAUCUCAACGGUUACCCACAGACAUUGAUGUACCUCGAUAAUGGAGCUGCACUAUGGCUAAAGUGAGGUCUAACUUAAGGUACAGAUUUUCAUUGUUAGCCUGCUAUUGGGCAGUAGUUAGCCUGCUAUCAGGCAAUAGUUACCCUGCUAUCAGGCCGUAGUCACCCUGUUAUCAGGUAAUGGUUAGCCUGCUAUCAGGCAGUACCUGUAUUUCGGUAUUGAAUUUGUACCCAUGACUCUAGUUUGCAUGUGUGCGGUGAAGGCUCUGGUUAGGCUAAAAAAUGUAGUACAUUUUCACACAAUUUUUCCGAUGCUUGCAUGGUUACAGAAACGUUGACGUAACCUUGACUGUGAUAUGCCACAUACUGUUGUGAUUUUUGGCACUUAUUAUGUUGAAACACGAUUGCUAUGAGUAUACAAACUUAUAAUGCAUCGGUAUCUCACCUCAUUGUGAAAACCCUAGCAUAUGCCGCAUAUGCAUGAACAAACUAUAUCCAAUUUUUGCCACAUUUUUUCAUUUUUGAAAAACAGCAAAAAAGUAAGGCUAUAGCACUAACUUUUCAUCCAUUUUUAGCGA
rnacentral:tRNA from 1 species